rnacentral:rRNA from 6 species
GUGGGUAGUUUGACUGGGGCGGUCUCCUCCUAAAGAGUAACGGAGGAGCACGAAGGUUGGCUAAUCCUGGUCGGACAUCAGGAGGUUAGUGCAAUGGCAUAAGCCAGCUUGACUGCGAGCGUGACGGCGCGAGCAGGUGCGAAAGCAGGUCAUAGUGAUCCGGUGGUUCUGAAUGGAAGGGCCAUCGCUCAACGGAUAAAAGGUACUCCGGGGAUAACAGGCUGAUACCGCCCAAGAGUUCAUAUCGACGGCGGUGUUUGGCACCUCGAUGUCGGCUCAUCACAUCCUGGGGCUGAAGUAGGUCCCAAGGGUAUGGCUGUUCGCCAUUUAAAGUGGUACGCGAGCUGGGUUUAGAACGUCGUGAGACAGUUCGGUCCCUAUCUGCCGUGGGCGCUGGAGAACUGAGGGGGGCUGCUCCUAGUACGAGAGGACCGGAGUGGACGCAUCACUGGUGUUCGGGUUGUCAUGCCAAUGGCACUGCCCGGUAGCUAAAUGCGGAAGAGAUAAGUGCUGA